AUGGAUAAUUUGAUCGCUGGGCUGCAACGAAAAAUAUGCAAAUAUAUUCCCGCACACAUUAACAGCACCGUCGUGACGGAAAAAAACCGACUGCGCCCAGCUCUCCGUAAAGUCGGUGAGGUUCACGGCAUGAUCAGAUAUGUUAAAAUGAGCAAAGCAACUUGUGCAGAAGGCUGUUUUCUGCUAAAGGGCUCAAGUGGGAACCCAGCUGUGAGCGGGGUUUGUCCUUAUCACCAUGUGGGGGGGCCUUGCCUUCUCAGUGGAUGCCUCUGCCUUAUGGUACGAUGUGCACACUUGAGGAAAUCCCCUCACCCCACCCCAGUGCACGGGACAAGGUGCAAUGUCCUGCUUCCGGCAGCCACGCGCACUUCUCUGUACGGACGCAGCCUCCCCGUAGCCCCGCCGAACAACAGCGCCGUGGCCUUUUUCAGCAUUAACCCGGCUGAGGCACAGCGGGACCCUCACUGGCACAUGAAUCGCCAUAGCCUGACAACGUGGGUUAACACAGCAACAAAUUAUCAGCUUCCAUACAACUGAAACAAAGCGUUCCAGGUCCUCUGAGAGCACGUUUGGAUGCACAAGGUUUGACCUCCUUCAAUCAACAGUUGGACUGGAAAAUUAUAGAUCAUAAAAAUAACAAAGGCCCUUGAUGAAUGAAUGAAUGAAUGAAUGAAUGAAUGAAUGAAUGAAUGAAUGAAACUUUAUUAAUCCUGCAGGGAAUUUCUGUUUGGGUGAAGCAGCAUCCAAUAUGCAACAUACAGUGAUGAAACAGAGAAAAAUGUUAGACAGAUUCGAGGCAAAUGAAUAUGUUAGGUAGAUAAAUAAGCAAAUGUAUUUGCUCAAGAGCAUGCAGAGUGAAGUGAGGUGGUGCAAGGUACAGGGAGGUAGAACAAAGUAGCUUAAAGUUGGAGACGGAACCUGAACCUGAACCUGAACCUUCAUCCCUGGUGGAACAGUUGGUCCAUAGCAAUAAGUUUUACAUCUAUAUUCUGCUGAGAUCUUUCAGUUUCCAGCCUCAUUUUAUUAAACAUCACACACAGGAGAAGUACCAGGAAGGUGUGAAGUUCCUCUAGCCAAGCACAUCAGGCUUCUUCCUCUUUCCUUCACACAGAAGCAGCAAGAGCAUGGUGGACAGGGGGCGGGGGUGAAUGGCGUGGUUGUGCAGUAGCUUGACGUACACAAGAAAAGGUGCCAUCAUUCCCUCAGCACACCUCUUAAGAUCCUUAUUUAAAUAUUUUUAAACAAAUGCAACUUAAUGAAUUCUCAGGGCGGAAUUAGCAGAGCCCUGUUUAAAAAUGAUAAAUCGAACAGAUCACAAUUUCUUAUAUCUACAUUGCAUUUAUCCUUUUAACACUUUUCUCCAAAGCACCUUACAGUGUUAAUGUACCUAAGGUUAUUUGCCCAUUUAUGCAGCUGAGUAACUUUACUGGACCAACUUAAGGCCAGUAUCUUGCUUAAGAGUAUUACAGCUCUAGGUGGGAUUUUAAGCUGGAAUCUUUGGGUCCAAAGGCAGCAGCUGCAAUCACCACACUACACACUGGCAAUGCUCAUUUAAAUAAAUUUAAAGAAAUCUAAAUAAUUUAAAGAGCU
rnacentral:lncRNA from 1 species